rnacentral:rRNA from 1 species
UACGGAGGGUGCAAGCGUUAUCCGGAUUCACUGGGUUUAAAGGGUGCGUAGGUGGGCAGUUAAGUCAGUGGUGAAAUCUCCGGGCUCAACCCGGAAACUGCCAUUGAUACUAUCUGUCUUGAAUAUCGUGGAGGUAAGCGGAAUAUGUCAUGUAGCGGUGAAAUGCUUAGAUAUGACAUAGAACACCAAUUGCGUAGGCAGCUUACUACACGAUCAUUGACGCUGAGGCACGAAAGCGUGGGGAGCAAACAGG